GACAUACCUUGGAAGUCAAUAUGGCGAGUCCAGGGAAAAAUCACAUGAUCUUGAUCAAACCUUCCUACUUCCAAAAGGAGAUGGAGAUUUAUGAAAGAAAGCUUCAAUGGUACAUGACUCCACUCAAGACCCUCUUGUCCUACAGCUCUUUAAAGAAGUAAACAAGUUGAAGGCCGAACGACAAGCUGAGAUACCUGAUUGGAACCAACCUAGGCCUGACCCUCUUACAAGGAGGAUAUUUGACUCCCCCUCCAAGCAAAGACAAAGCAGAAGCUUGGCUUGCAACUCUAUACUGGAAAUGAGGACCCGAUUGAACAUCUUAACCUUUUUGAGUCCACCCUGGCAUACCGGAUGCACACCGACGAAGAGCGAUG
rnacentral:lncRNA from 1 species